CCUACGGGCGGCAGCAGUGAGGAAUAUUGGUCAAUGGUCGGGAGACUGAACCAGCCAAGCCGCGUGAGGGAUGAAGGUACAGAGUAUCGUAAACCUCUUUUGUCAGGGAACAAAGGCGGGGACGUUUCCCCGGAUGAGUGUACCUGAAGAAAAAGCAUCGGCUAACUCCGUGCCAGCAGCCGCGGUAAUACGGAGGAUGCGAGCGUUAUCCGGAUUUAUUGGGUUUAAGGGGUGCGCAGGCGGUCUGUUAAGUCAGCGGUAAAAGCCCGGGGCCCAAUCCCGGCCCGCCGUUGAAACUGGCAGUCUCGAGUUGGAGAGAAGUAUGCGGAAUGCGCGGUGUAGCGGUGAAAUGCAUAGAUAUCGCGCAGAACUCCGAUUGCGAAGGCAGCAUGCCGGCUCCACACUGACGCUGAGGCACGAAAGCGUGGGUAUCGAACAGGAUUAGAUACCCCAGUAGUC
rnacentral:rRNA from 1 species